rnacentral:lncRNA from 1 species
GUCCAAUUCACUUCACACACACAAACAAACAAUAAAACCUCACAAUAACAAGAGUCAAAACUCCCCCCUCACGCCUCUCAUGCACCCAGAAGCCACAACCCACAAUCCUCGAGCCUCAAGCUACGUCCUCGCGCCUUACGCUGUGUCCUCACGCCUCAACCAUGUCUUCACGCCUCAAGCUACCAUCAACUUCGAUGCCAAUCGUCGGCCUUACUACUUUCUUCUCCGGUAUGACGCUAAUUGUUGCUAGUUGCUGCAGCAAAAAUAUACAUAUUUUUCACACCUUUUCUUUUCUAGGAUUUGGACUAAUUUUCUAGAUCUAUUUGCUCGCUAUUAGGUUUUAGUCAGUGACUUGAUUUCAACACUUUACACUUAUAUUUAGUCAUGAUCUGUUGGGGGGACUUGAAUACCCUUAAUUGGGGAUUUCUUUAUUUGUUCUUGUUUUGGAAUUGGUGAGGAAAAGAAGGACAAAGAAGAAAGAUCAAUAUAAUAUUUUCAUUAUAGUUUUAUCAUGUCGGUUCGAUUUGCAUUUCUUUUUGUUAAGAUUAUGUUUAUUUUUUUACUCUCUCAGUGACAUUGUUUUAAUUGAAUAGUGAUAACAAAUUCGAUUAUGUAAGUUUAUUUUGUCCAAACUUCGGCAUGAUUUCUUUCUACUUCUUGUUUGUAUACAAGUAAAAGAUUAGCAAUUUGAGGCCUUUAAUACUGCGUAUGGAAUUAACAUAUGUGUUUGUUAUGUCAAUUUUGGUUGCUUUAAUUUUUUUCUUCUUUAUUGUUUAUGGCGGAAUGAUUUGGGAUUAAAGGGCAUUGCUUUACUACUCAAACUGUGGCUGAUCUUCUAGUCAUUGGGAUGGUUGAUUUGCCUUUGGUGCAAACUGGUAAAGGCAUAGCGGAAUGUGAAUUUCUUCAUUGGUUUGUACAAGAGGUGAGUAAAUAACCUGUCAAAUUGUACCAUGAUUAAUCAACACAGUUGCUGGUUCUAUGAAUGAAAUAACACAUGAACUAGUAUGAACAUCUGGUACAAACAUCUCAUUAUGUUUUACCUUCUUGAAUCCACUCCAAAAUGUAUUAUCUUCUCGGCUAAGUAAGGAUUCUUAUUUAAGUGGUUCGAUUUAAUUUCACAAGCCAUAACAAGGAGUCUUCAAGUAUAUUACAGAUCAAUUUUAGGUUUUCAUGCAGCUAAGAUGAGGGAAGCCUUAUUUUUGGGGUCGGGGUGUUAAUCUAUUUGUAAGUUCAGUAGUUAAUCCAUGUUUGGAUUACUCAGUGAGUGAGUGAGUGAGAGAGAGAGAGAGAGAGACUUACUAAAUGGAAUGUUGCCUCUUCCUUUAUAAUAACUUGAGAAACGUAUUAUGAAAGAAACGGCAAUCAUGUUGACUUUUCAUCUAGUUGCAUAUGUGGUAGAAUGAUUAGACUGUUUUGUUAUGAAGUUUAGAUGAUUCUGCUUAUAUAGUUACAAUAGUUCUAUGGUUUGAAAGAUGCUUCAUAAUUUAUCUUCUAAUCGGUAUUGUUCUAAAAUCUCAAAUGCAGUGAGGGAGGUUUCUUCAAUGCUAUAAUGAGCUUCCCCCAAAAUUAACUGAACAUUCCUCCAACAGUGAGAUUUACCUCGAAGAUGUGGCAUCCUAAUGGUUUAUAUUUUCACCUAUAAGAAUGCUUUGGUACCUUCAUCAAUGUUCUGUAUUUUUUAGUGCAUUUAUUUGGAACUUAAACAUGAUAUGCAAUUUAUUUAGAUGGGAAGGUUUGUAUUUCUAUUCUUCAUCCUCUUGGCGAUGAUCCAAAUGGCUAUGUGCUUGCUAUAAAGCGUUGGUCACCUGUCCAUACGGUAUGUUAGAAAAUAAUUCCUUCAUCUUACUGUGGUGUAUUAUUAAACUAGUUGGAUCUCGUCGGCUACUAACAAUUUUGGUCAUUUGUAAUCAAAGUGCCAUUUUGGUUCGUAGGCAUGUCUUACUUAAUUUCACCUUCAAAGAUACUAUGUGCUAUUAACUUGGCUAUUUUGCUUGACAAUAUUUAUCACCUAAAUUGAUUUAACAUUAGAAAUGAUAAAUAACAUUACUCUUUUGCUAAUAUGAUGUCGAAGAGUAGACUCGUGGAUAUUGGAGAGAAUGGUAUCAAUUUACUUUGAAAAUGGUUUGACAAAAUUUUGAUAAAUGGAG